rnacentral:rRNA from 1 species
GAUGAACGCUAGCUACAGGCUUAACACAUGCAAGUCGAGGGGCAGCAUGAACUUAGCUUGCUAAGUUUGAUGGCGACCGGCGCACGGGUGCGUAACGCGUAUCCAACCUUCCCGUUACUCAGGUAUAGCCUUGCGAAAGUAAGAUUAAUCCCUGAUGACAUAUGUUUGCUGCAUGGUGAACAUAUUAAAGAUUGAUCGGUAACGGAUGGGGAUGCGUUCCAUUAGGUAGUUGGUGAGGUAACGGCUCACCAAGCCCGCGAUGGAUAGGGGUUCUGAGAGGAAGGUCCCCCACACUGGAACUGAGACACGGUCCAGACUCCUACGGGAGGCAGCAGUGAGGAAUAUUGGUCAAUGGACGAGAGUCUGAACCAGCCAAGUAGCGUGCAGGAUGACGGCCCUCUGGGUUGUAAACUGCUUUUAGUGGGAAUAAAAAGNGGGACGUGUCCCUAAUUGUAUGUACCAUCAGAAAAAGGACCGGCUAAUUCCGUGCCAGCAG